GUGCUUGCUUCUGCAGCACAUAUACUAAAAUUGAAAUGAUACAGAGAAGAUUAGCUUGGCCCCUGUGCAAAGAUGACAUGCAAAUUCAUAAAGCGUUCCACAUUUUC
ensembl:snRNA U6 U6 spliceosomal RNA